UUUACCAAGCAAGCUGUCUUUAACAGUGAAUACUUCCAGUCUCCAUGCUGUGAGCAACUGUCCAGUGCAGAUCAGCUGAGUCAGUGAAACUGACAGACUGGGAAGGCUUUAAAGAGUGAAACUGAAGAAGUCAAGCCAAUUCCAAGUGGACGCUGAUGUUCAUAACCCUUCCUCUGAAAGAGUGCUUUCAUUAUUUGCAGGACAUGGGCAUUGCUGAUUGUCUCGCAUUUUUUAUUGUCCAUCUGUAGUUCACCUUGAGAAGGUGGUGAUGAGCUGCCUUCUUGUACCUCUGCAGUCCACAAGCUGUAUGUAGACCCAUAAUGCCCCAAAGGAGGAAAUUCCAGGAUUGACUCAGCAACAAUAAAGGAACGAUUAUAUAUUUUCAAGUCAGGAUGAUGGAGUUCCUCAGAUGUUUAAUCUGCAUUGGAGGGACGAUAAAUUGAAACAAGUUUGGAAAUUAUACCCACAAGAAGAGGAAUUCCUACAUUGCAGAUUAAAGAAGUCCUUAUUUCCUCAUCUCCAGAAUGGUCUUCAGAAUGCUCUUCGUUCUUGUCGUCAUCCACCAGAUUCGUCCCUCGAGAUAGUAUUGAAUAGUUCUUUAAUUGUUGCAUUACACAGCUCGUCAAAGAAGCUGAAGGCGAUUCUUUGCUCAAGUUAGCACUUU